UGGAGAGUUUGAUCCUGGCUCAGAUUGAACGCUGGCGGCAGGCCUAACACAUGCAAGUCGAACGGUAACAGGGAGCAGCUUGCUGCUCUGCUGACGAGUGGCGGACGGGUGAGUAAUGUCUGGGAAACUGCCUGAUGGAGGGGGAUAACUACUGGAAACGGUAGCUAAUACCGCAUAACGUCUUCGGACCAAAGUGGGGGACCUUCGGGCCUCAUGCCAUCAGAUGUGCCCAGAUGGGAUUAGCUAGUAGGUGGGGUAACGGCUCACCUAGGCGACGAUCCCUAGCUGGUCUGAGAGGAUGACCAGCCACACUGGAACUGAGACACGGUCCAGACUCCUACGGGAGGCAGCAGUGGGGAAUAUUGCACAAUGGGCGCAAGCCUGAUGCAGCCAUGCCGCGUGUAUGAAGAAGGCCUUCGGGUUGUAAAGUACUUUCAGCGGGGAGGAAGGUGCUGUGGUUAAUAACCACAGCAAUUGACGUUACCCGCAGAAGAAGCACCGGCUAACUCCGUGCCAGCAGCCGCGGUA
rnacentral:rRNA from 1 species